rnacentral:rRNA from 1 species
UACGGGGGGGGCAAGCGUUGUUCGGAAUUACUGGGCGUAAAGGGCUCGUAGGCGGCCAACUAAGUCGGACGUGAAAUCCCCAGGCUCAACCUGGGAACUGCGUCCGAUACUGGAUGGCUUGAAUCCGGGAGAGGGAUGCAGAAUUCCAGGUGUAGCGGUGAAAUGCGCAGAUAUCGGGAAGAACACCAGUGGCGAAGGCGACUCACUGGACACGUAUUGACGCUGAGGUGCGAAAGCGUGGGGAGCAAACAGG